AUGAUGGCCGCAGCGAGAAUGGCCUUCGCAUCAAGCUGUCGCGUCCACCUCCUCCUCCCUUCCUCGCCUUCAACCCCCAUCUUCGCCAGGACCCGAGUUGGCUGCAGGGGCAUAGCCAAAGGCGAGGUUCCGGUGGGCGAGCUCGCUGGCCUCCUGGACAUCCGGGUUGGGCGGGUCGUGAAGGCGUGGCUGCACCCAGAGGCGGACACUCUGUACGUGGAGGAGGUCGACGUCGGCGAGGAGCAACCGCGCACCAUCUGCAGCGGCCUCGUCAAGUACCUACCCCUCGACCAACUCCAGGACAGCAAUGUCAUUGUUCUUGCUAACCUGAAACCAAGAAACAUGCGCGGCAUCAAGUCUAAUGGCAUGCUUAUGUGUGCCUCUGAUGCUUCUCACGAGAAUGUUGAGUUGCUCACCCCUCCAGAAGGUUCUGUUCCCGGUGAAAGGGUAUGGUUUGGAUCUGAAGAUGAAAAGAGUAUUCAAUCAGAACCUGCAACAGGAAACCAGGUUCAAAAGAAAAAGAUUUGGGAAUCUGUUCAGCCUCACCUUAAGACAACGGAUAACUGCGUAGCAGUUCUUGGUGAGCAACCAAUGCGCACCUCAGCAGGCAUGGUUUUCUGCAAAUCAUUGCAGGGUGCAAGCGUGUCAUAA
rnacentral:rRNA from 1 species